AAAUAAAGGCUGGGGUGUGUCCUUCCAGGAGUAUAUACAGUGUAAAGGUCCAGCCUUUCUUCAAAGGCUCUCAGAAGAUUGAAGUUCAUGCACCUCUAGCAGCACAAUAUUCCUGCUGAGUAUAUACAGUGUAAAGGUCCAGCCUUUCUUCAGAGGUUCUCAGAAGAUUGAAGUUCAUGCACCUCUAGCAGCACAAUAUUCCUGCUGUGUCGCAGUUGGUUAUUUGGUCUUUCUGGUUGGACUGAAGGGUGAUUGCUUCCUAUCUGGGGUUCAUACCAGGACAAAUGAAGCAUUGAAAGUCAACAGUGACCCUCAGAAGAACCGAUUGUCUUUGACCAUCAACCCUUGAUCUCAUAGGAAACAACUGACCUCGUCAUUGUUGCAUCAUUGUACAACUUUUAACCUGUAUCAUGAGUUUCCUGUGGUCAGGUCUUACAAAAAUUAAAUCAACCAGUUUUGGAAAAAAUAUUGCUGAAAAGCAUCAAAUGUUGGCGAGACAGAUGUUGCUGAGACAGCAUCACAUGUUGCCGAGAGAGAUGUUGCCAAGACAACAUCAAAUGUUGCCAAGACAGAUGUUGCUGAGAAAGCAUCAAAUGUUGCUGAAACAGAUGUUGCUGAUCCAUCAGAGCCAACAGAGACCAAACGACUCGCUGAAGCUGUUAGACAAAAAAGUAUAAAACUGAAACUAUAAACAGAAAGUCCUGAAGUUUAUGCAGUUCCACUGAAAGAAGAACAGAUCUCUAUAAAUGGAUGCAAAUGUUUUAAUUUAGGGAAAAAAUGCAUGAAACCCAACCGCACCAUCAUGGUUCUUGGAGCCACUGGUGCAGGGAAGUCAACUCUCAUCAAUGGGAUGAUCAGUUACAUUCUGGGUGUUAAAUGGGAAGACUCAUAUCGGUUUGUGUUAGUGAAUGAAGAUCAGUCAAUGUCACAAGCUCACAGCCAGACUCCAGAAGUCUUCCACCAGGAGGUUAGACUACUCACUGACCAUUGUGGAUACUCAUACAAUCAUUUAGCAAACACCUUUUCCAAAGCUGACCCAACUGGAAGGUGUUUGCGUUUGCCCCAUUGUAAUAUGUCCCCUCUUGGAUUUUAAUUCUGGUCUCCUGCAUGGUAAACAGACGCCAUGCCAACUGAGCUAACCAGCCACUAUAAAUGUUUACAUUACAGUACAAUCCUUUAGCAGAUGCUUAUCUCCAAAGCAACUUACCUAAGGGUCUUGCCUAAAGGCCCAACUGGAGGGUGUUAAUGUUUGCCCCAUUGUAAUAUGUCCCCUGUCAGAUUCAAACUCUGGUCUGCCACAUGUGAGACGGAAACUGUGCCGACUGUGCCAACCAGCCACCAUGCCUGGAUUUGGAGACAUCAAAGGCAUAAACAGAGACAGGGAACACAGAGCAGAUAUGUAAUCUCUUCACUGCUCAGCCUGGUGUCGCUGAAAUUGUUGCUGUGUGUUUUGUAGCUCCGGCUUCUUUAGCACGACUCACACCGACACAGAAAUACAUCUUUGAUUCAGUUUUCUCAAUCUUUGGGAAAGAUGUGGCAGAAAACAUCAGGAUUCUGGUGACAUUUGCACCAUUUGCAGACGGGCAGACCACCAGUUCUACAGGCGAUCAGUGUAUCAGGAGUCCCAUGUCCUAAAGAUAAAGCUGGGAGUCCAGUUCACUUUAAAUUCAACAAUCUGUUUGCAGACAAUAAAUCACCUGCAGCAGGCAGCGGGGGUGGGGACGACUCAGAUGAAAACUAACAUGUUUUGGAAGAUGGGGACAAAAAGCAUGAAACGGUUUUGCUGUUAUAAAUCAGAUGGAGACCAAAAGCUUGACACUAACACAGGAGGUUCUCAGAGAAAGAAAACAGUUGGAGGUUUAUGUUGAAGGUUUGCAGAAGCAGGUCAGACUUGGUUUAUCCAAGAUGGAAGAGAUAAAACAGACAGAAAAAAUACUGAAAGAUCAUGAAGCAGAGAUCAGCAGAAAUGAGAAGUUUGAGUUUGAAGUCACUGUGAUGAAACCCUUUCAAGUGGAUAUCUCUGGUACAGGACAGUUCAUCACCAACUGUCAGACAUGUUAUUACACCUGUCACUACCCUUGUAGCAUAUAAAGAAGGAUGUGCUGCAAUGACAGAUGGAUACUGUCGAGUGUGUCCAGGUAAAUGUGUCUGGAAUGUCCAUUUUAAUCAGAAGUACAGAUGGGAUUAUGAUGAGGUUAUUAUAAUGGGGGGGAUUGAAGAAAAAGAUUAAAGAAAAGAGGGAGGGGAGUUGAAGCAAAAGUAAAACAACACCAAAGGGAAGAAGAUGAGUGUACAGGAUCUGAUAGAUACGGUGCAGGUUGAAUUUAAGGAUGUGCAGGAUGCGGUGAUGAGUUCCAUAAAAAAAUCCGCUGAAUGUCUUAACAGACAGCGUUGACGCCAGAUCCUCUCUAUACUUCAGAGUACAUCAAUCUGCUUAUUGAAGGAGAGAAAUCAGAGGCCAAACCAGGCUGGAAGAAACAAACUGAGUCCCUGAUGAAGAUGAGAGAGAAAGCAGAGUACAUGGCUAGAGUAGAGAGAGGAGAAGAUCUUUUACAUUAAGAUUCUGGUCUCUGUUGAUCCCAAAGGGAUGAUAAGAAAGACUUAAAGCUGAAUGUGUUUGCUUCCUCUUUAUUGAUGCCCGUGUCUGCUUUAAUCAUUCUUGGUUCAUCGGUUGUGUUUCCAGAUUAUCCACCAGCAGAAAUCUGCUGUUAGCUCAUUUAACCUCACUGAUCAAGCUUGGAGAAAUCUGGUCUCCUUCUUCUCUGGAGCCUGGAUGAAAAGUGUUAAACACGGCUCUUUAUGACGGGUUUUUGUUCAUCAUGUUUACUAUUUAGGGCUGGAACUAAAUAAGGGUGGAUAAUAUAAUUAAUUAGAGGUUUUGUGAUUAAUUAAUCAUAAUUAACGUUAAAGUCCCACCCCUAGUACUAAUAUGAAUAUUUUAUUUACCAGUGUAACAUAAGUUUGUAGUAUAAUGUAAACUGUUGACUGUUUAAUGUGUUUUAGAAAAUGUCCUACAGUGGCCAUUAAUUAGAUAUUUUCUUUUUUUAUUUGAAUACUGAAUUUUAUGAUAUGAGAAAUAAAAAGUAAUUUAAUGACGUUUUGAACUUAAAUCAAACCUGACUUGUUCUACAUGCUGUUUUAUUUUUUUCUUGUAAUCAUGUGACAAACGUUAUCAACCUGUGGAUUAAUUAAAUGGCUUCAUCUGAAUGUGUAAUAAAAUAAGUGGUUGUAAAUAAAUAAUGUUUA